rnacentral:misc_RNA from 1 species
CGUUUGCAUCAGUGAACGUGAUCCUGUACAUAAAUGGUGACUCAAAUUGAAGCCAUUAGCUUCAAGGAAUGCAAGCAAUGAAAAUGGAAGUGCAGAUCAUUUCCAAAGAAAAUGUUAAACCAUCUUCUUCAACACCAACUCACCUAAGAACCUUCAAAUUUUCCCUUUUAGAUCAGCUCAUUCCUUCUUCAUAUGCUCCACUUGUCCUCUUCUAUCCCAUGAAUAAAAACAUCAGCAAUCUUGAUGUCCCCAGCAGAUUAAAUCUGCUCAAAGCAUCUCUAUCACAGACCUUAACUUGGUUUUACCCCUUGGCUGGAAAAAUCAAAGAUGAACUUUCCAUCGAUUGCAAUGAUGAAGG